CCUCCAAACCAAAUUUGAGAAAUCAAUGGCAGUCGGCAAAUUGCUUUCGGAAGAAUGACGGUGGAGGUCGGAGAUGAUGUGGUGGCCGUCAUCACCGAUUCACCAUCAACAAUCGACCUCUCAAUUUCUCCUUUUUCAAUUUUCAUACUAUUUUGCCAGUUUUGGAAGAAGAAUGUGAGAUUCAGAAGAAUUACUGGGUCAAGCAUUUUGCAGAAUUUUCUAUGGAAGCUGUGAUGCUCGACUCAAAAGCCUCUGAUCUUAACAAAGAAGAGAGACCCGGGAGAAUCUGAAUUUGCUAGUGCUACAGAUGAAGCUCAACAAAUGUUAAGUGAAAUGGGAAUUGACGUUGUAUUCUGAGAUAAACGCAGCAUUCGAAAGAAGUUACAGUUCGAUGAAAGUAAGAGUGAAGAGGUAACAAAAUCAAUUGAAGAAUCUUUUAAAGUUGAUUAUUUUCUCUUUAUAAUUGAUCGAGCUCGAUCAUUACUUCAAACCUGCUUUGAACAUCUUAAACAUUAUGAAGAGAUAUUUGGAUUUUUGUUUAAUGUUGAGAAAUUAAACAAAUUGCAUGUUGACGGUUUGUUGAAAUCUUGUGAGAAUCUUGAGCAGUAUUUGAAGUAUAAUAGACAUUCAGACAUAUUGGUAAU